rnacentral:rRNA from 1 species
UACGUAGGGGGCGAGCGUUGUCCGGAAUCAUUGGGCGUAAAGCGCGUGUAGGCGGCCCGGUAAGUCCGCUGUGAAAGUCCAGGGCUCAACCCUGGAAGGCCGGUGGAAACUGUCGGGCUAGAGUCCGGAAGAGGCGAGUGGAAUUCCCGGUGUAGCGGUGAAAUGCGCAGAUAUCGGGAGGAACACCAAUGGCGAAGGCAGCUCGCUGGGACGGUACUGACGCUGAGACGCGAAAGCGUGGGGAGCAAACAGG